GAGUGAGUCGUUGAGACAGAGACCCCAUAGCCUGCAAAGCUGAAAAUGUUUAUUAUCUGGCCCUUGUUCUACACCUUCUCAUUACUGGAAAAAAAAAAAGUGCUCGUGAUUCUCCAAAAAGAAAACCCAUAUUCCCCAUCAACUGUAUCCUUUGUGAUAUGUGAAACAUCAUUUGUCCAGUUAUGGCGUGAGACUCAGCCAUGCGGAAGAAUGGCUGGAACCACCAGUUCAUGAAUCUUGAGUGUAUUUUCCAAGGAGGUGGAGCUUAAAUUGCCCCUCACUUUUGAGUGUGGGCUACACGAGGUGACUUGCUUCCAAAGAGAGAGCAACUACAGCAGAGAGAAGAAGGAACUUCAUAGUGGGGAACGCUGGCAAGCAUUACCUUGGCCAGGUGAUUAAGACCAACAUCACAUUAAUAAAUGAUGGGAAUAGUAUGCCGUCUUGAUAUGAUGUCAUGAGAAUUCACCUCCCCGGUAUUUUCCUCAAAACCUUAACCGCAGUCCAACCAUGGGAAAGACAUUAGACAAACCCACAUGGAGGGGACACUCUACAAAACACUCCCCCCAAACUGUCAAGGUCAUGAAGAACUAGGAAAGAUGGAGACACUGAGGAGCCUGAGACAUGAUAACUAAAUGUAAUGUGGUAUCCUGCAGGGGUUCAUGGGAUCCAUAGCAGAUAUUAGGGGGAAAAGAAUGAAAUCCAGAUAAACAACUGAGCCACCCAGGCGCCCCAAGCAAAGUAUUUUUAUUGAAUAGAUUAUUUAAUGAAUAACUUUCCAUCACAAUCCUGCUUCUCAUGAGUCAACUUUUCAAAACAUUCCUUGUGCAAAUCAUGUUACCUGACAACUACCGGACCUGACCAGUAAGCCAUGGCACCUUUUGCGAUUAUUUUUUAAUCAAUUUUAUUGAGGAAUAAAAUAUGCUCACUUUAAGUGUACAUUUCAAUACGUUUUAACAAAAAUGAAUAUAACCACCACAAUGAUAAAGAUUUAGGACAUUUUCCCAUCACUCCAAAAUUUCCUUCAUGCCCCCACCCUCAGCCCAGCCCAGCCCAAUCAUUUUCUUAAUCCACAUACUCUGGGAAGCAGGUGCUAAUACAGGAUUAGCCAUAAAAGAGAUUUAGGGGAAAUAAUGUGAAGGAUAAAGGAGAGAGGACUUAAGGUGUGGAGAGCCUGCAGAGCAAGGCAGCUCCAACACCUGUCAAAGAAAGAAGGCAGGCAGGAGGAGGGGUUCAAAAGAGAUUCUUAGACUGCAAAGUGCAAUUCCAAGAAAGCUUUGGCCAGGCCAAGGGAGUGUCCUCCAGAGAAGGCCUGUGUCCCUAAGGAAUGGACCUGAAGCAGCACCUCCUCUGUGCUCAACCAUUGACUGGGGGUAGUAUUUCA